GUGGCCUUUGUCUCGCUGUUUUUCUGGGUUUUAAGACACUGUGCCAACUUAAAAAUAGUUUGCAAUGAAUAGUUUCAUCUCUCUCUCUCU